ACGAACGCUGGCGGCGUGCUUAACACAUGCAAGUCGAACGGAAAGGCCUCUUUCGGGGGGUACUCGAGUGGCGAACGGGUGAGUAACACGUGAGUAACCUGCCCUUGACUUUGGGAUAACUUCAGGAAACUGGGGCUAAUACCGGAUAGGAGCUCCUGCUGCAUGGUGGGGGUUGGAAAGUUUCGGCGGUUGGGGAUGGACUCGCGGCUUAUCAGCCUGUUGGUGGGGUAGUGGCUUACCAAGGCCUUGACGGGUAGCCGGCCUGAGAGGGUGACCGGCCACAUUGGGACUGAGAGACGGCCCAGACUCCUACGGGAGGCAGCAGUGGGGAAUAUUGCACAAUGGGUGGAAGCCUGAUGCAGCAACGCCGUGUGCGGGAUGACGGCCUUCGGGUUGUAAACCGCUUUCGCUCAUGACGAAGCUUUGUGUGACGGUAGUGGGUAAAGAAGCACCGGCUAACUACGUG
rnacentral:rRNA from 1 species